UACGUAGGGGGCAAGCGUUGUCCGGAUUUAUUGGGCGUAAAGAGCGUGUAGGCGGCCAGACAGGUCAGCUGUGAAAACUCGAGGCUCAACCUCGAGACGUCGGUUGAAACCGUCUGGCUAGAGUCCGGAAGAGGAGAGUGGAAUUCCCGGUGUAGCGGUGAAAUGCGCAGAUAUCGGGAAGAACACCCGUGGCGAAGGCGGCUCUCUGGGGCGGUACUGACGCUGAGGAGCGAAAGCGUGGGGAGCGAACAGG
rnacentral:rRNA from 1 species